rnacentral:rRNA from 1 species
AGUGAACGCUGGCGGUAGGCCUAACACAUGCAAGUCGAACGGCAGCACAGUAAUAGCUUGCUCUUACGGGUGGCGAGAGGCGUACGUGUGAGGAAUAUAUCGUAAUCUACUUUUUCGGGUAGGAUAACGUAGGUAAACUUACGCUAAUACCGCAUACGACCUACGGGGGAAAGGAUGGGAUCUUCGGACCGUUCGCGAUUGGAUGAGCCGAUGUCGGGUUAGCUAGUUGGCGGGGUAAAGGCCCAGCAAGUCGACGAUCCGUAGCUCGUGUGAGAGGAUGGUCAGCCACCUGGGAACUGAGACACGGUCAAGAGGACUAAGGGACGGCGCAGUGGGGAAUAUUGGACAAUGGGCGCAAAUAUGGUCCAGCCAUAGCGAGUCGGUGGAGACGGCGUUCGGGUUGGAAAGACCUUUUGUUGGGAAAGAAAAGCAGCCGGUUAAUACGAAGCUGUUCUGACGGUAAUCAAAGAAUAAGCACCGGCUAACUUCGUG